CAGCCGCCGCGGUAAUACGUAGGUCCCGAGCGUUGUCCGGAUUUAUUGGGCGUAAAGCGAGCGCAGGCGGUUAGAUAAGUCUGAAGUUAAAGGCUGUGGCUUAACCAUAGUACGCUUUGGAAACUGUUUAACUUGAGUGCAGAAGGGGAGAGUGGGAUUCCAUGUGUAGCGGUGAAAUGCGUAGAUAUAUGGAGGAACACCGGUGGCGAAAGCGGCUCUCUGGUCUGUAACUGACGCUGAGGCUCGAAAGCGUGGGGAGCAAACAGGAUUAGAUACCCGCGUAGUCCCUGUCUCUUAUACA
rnacentral:rRNA from 1 species